GACGAACGCUGGCGGCGUGCUUAACACAUGCAAGUCGAACGGUGAAGGGACCGGUUUUUGCUGGUUCUGGAUGAGUGGCGAACGGGUGAGUAACACGUGAGUAACCUGCCCCCUUCUUCUGGAUAACCGCAUGAAAGUGUGGCUAAUACGGGAUAUUCUGCGCCUGCUGCAUGGUGGGUGUGGGAAAGAUAUUGUUUCGGUGGGGGAUGGGCUCGCGGCCUAUCAGCUUGUUGGUGGGGUGAUGGCCUACCAAGGCGGUGACGGGUAGCCGGCCUGAGAGGGUGGACGGUCACACUGGGACUGAGACACGGCCCAGACUCCGACGGGAGGCAGCAGUGGGGAAUAUUGCACAAUGGGCGCAAGCCUGAUGCAGCGACGCCGCGUGAGGGAUGGAGGCCUUCGGGUUGUAAACCUCUUUCGCCAGUGAAGCAGGCCUGUCCCUUUUGUGGGUGGGUUGACGGUAGCUGGAGAAGAAGCGCCGGCUAACUACGUG
rnacentral:rRNA from 1 species